AAUCUAGAGGACACGCAGAUGGAGAGAUUCUAAAACACUUUUUGGGGGGAAUUUAUUAUAUAUAUAUUUUUUGGUUGUAUUCUUUUGUUUACUUCUUUUUGUUGCGUACCAACACAACAGCCACACAGAUGAUGUUAUCUUUUUCACCUGCGUAGAUGAUUUGUGUGGGACAGCUCUUGUCGUGAGAUGAGAAGGCAGAGAUGAACACUAUGUUACUGUGAUUGUUUUAAGGGGAAAAAAGUGCAUCUUUUACAGCCAAUUUUAUCCGUUAAGCUAGCUGAUAGUAUCGCCACAAAGUGUGCACGCACACACGCUGCUACGAGCAACUGUGUGUCGGUGUGAAAAGGUUUUCUGAUGUGCUGCGUGUGAGCGUGGACCGGGUGAGAUUCAAAUGAUGGUGUGUAUGAGGGUGUGUGUGUGUGUGUGUGUGUGUGUGUGUGUGUGUGUGUGUGCACUAGUUGUGUUGUUUGUGUUUUACUUUUAUUUGGGUUGUUGGUUCAUUGCGGGAAAUUAAAAAAAUGUUUUGUAAGUAGGUUAGGCAAUUCUAUAAGCUAUUGCUUCUGCCUAAACCUGUUCAGUCAUGAUAUACCAAAUAGACACCAUAUAAAAAAACAAGGCAUAUGUUAGUGAGAAAUGGUAUUUGUAUCUAAUUGUAUGACAUGUUAAUGUACAUUAUCUUAAGAUAACUGACUGAAUAAAUUGAUCAUUCAUUCAUUCAAUAAUGCUAAAUUAACUUAGAGAACAUAGAUUAAAAUUACCUAUCAUUAAUGUGCAACUACUUCAACUUAAAGGUGCAGUAUGUAAGAAUAUAGUGAGAAUUUACAGAGAGAAAAUCCCAAAAGUCUAAUGUUUGGAAGGAAGGUUGUACUGAAACAUAUUUCACAUCCAGCUGGCUGCGGGAAUUGUCAGUUUUUUUCUCAUUUCAAAACAAGGGAAGGAGGGACGUAACUACUGUUUACCAUCAGUGAGUGUGAGGUUGCCAGGUCUCCUACAAGCUAAUGCUGCAGCGCCAACAAUUGUAAUUUGACGACGGCCAGCAAAUAGCUGCAGAGUUGUUGUGCAGAGUUGUGGGUGCUCUUAAUUCAGAUGUAUUACUGACAUAGCUUCCAUUUCCUACGCUCCCGGUGAUUACAUUUGAGCGCAAACAGGAGUAUAAACGGUUCACAAAGACGUAAUCUUGCUUUAUAUGUUCGUACCUUGGAGAACGUGUCUUUGUAACUAUCCAUGUUUGGGCAUGUGUUUAAGUUACUAAGCUGAUCAAAUGUAAGCAGUGUACACAUGGCUAAACAAGGCUAAUUGCUAAGCACACCACUAAGACGUGUACACUAGUACUAUGUUUUUUCUGCUUCUGUAUAUUGUAGUUACGGUGAUAAAACUUUUAUAAAGAUCUUCUUUUAAGAAAAUCAAGCCUUGGGUGAAGAUUCUUUGCUG
rnacentral:lncRNA from 1 species